rnacentral:rRNA from 1 species
UCGACGAGACGAGCCGAGCCACCUCUCCAGCCCGCGGGCGUCGCAUCGGCGGUUAGAGGGUGGUUCUUUGGUUUGGUCGAGGGAGGGGUGCUCGAGGAGUGGGCCGCGGCGGCGGCGGCGGGGCGCGCGCGAGGAGGGAGGCCGCCGGCCGCGGGAGGAGGGCGCGCGGGGCGCGGGGAAGGGCCGCCGGUGCGCGACGGUGGCCGCUGGCACUCGCCCUCGGGCGCGGCGCGGCUCGGCUCGGCUGCUGCUGGGCCGACUGGAUCGUGGCGACCUAGGUGUAGGGGAAGGGAUGAUCCCGAACGAGUGUGCGAGGUAAACCUAGACUGGUCCGCGCCCUUUGUUCAGUUCGUUCGGUCCGUGGUAUAGGGUUGGUGAGGCGGCAAGAAGACGGCCUCGGAUGUAUUUCUCGCCGACGAGAGGAGACCGGCAGUAACAUCUAGAUCGGUCCCAUUGUGGAGAAAACAACUGUGAACAACAUGUACGACUAAAGCCACCAGAGGACACUGGGUCGCCCUCAGCUUCACGAACUGUCGCUCCUACGGACCGGAUCGAAAUGGAUUAGUACUAUGUCGCUUGUUACCUAAGUCAAUGGGGUCCAGGUGUCUUGUCUGCACACUAGUCUUCAGUUCUCGAGUCGAUAGAGGUCUACUACUUGAAAGGCGAUUCCUUUCAAAUCGUAAUAUGACCUUCGGUCAACUCGACAUGCUAUGAUAAGCUGUUUCUCGGUAACUUUUCGGGGGAAGCGAAGUUUCUACGGAAGCGAUAUUCUAUCUUCGUUUUGCUUCUUUCUCCUAAGUCUAUAGUCAUAGCUAAAGACCUUCGUGUUUAUGAGCUAACGGUCGUGUACCAUAGAAAGGAGAGGUACAAGACAAUCGAUCUAGAUCAUUCCUACGAGGUCCACUUCCCGUAAGAGGUUACAUAGCCAAGUCGGCCCGAACACAGGACUGAAGGAAGACACUUAGACCUCUGUCACCGGUGUGACUUCGGUGUAAGUGGUAGGGGUUAUACUUCUUAAAUAGUUGGAGGGUUCAAGCGCCGGAACUGUAAUAGGAAUAAUCGGCACCGGUUCCACCCGUUUUAGAAUCACUUUUGACGAGUCUCUUGGUACGCCUCAUAAGAAGAGGAGUUUUCGAACCUCCGGUUACAAAGACCCCAUUUUAUGGUUAACUAAGUGAACCAAGCAGAGACCUAACACAUUGAAAUUCAAACCCCGCAUGACACCUUAAUUGAAGUCUUUAUUCAUACUUGGGACCAAAGUAUCUCGGUAGUGAAGAACUCGUACUGUCAACAAACUGUAAAACAAGAGAUUUCCGUUUACGAUGUCCAAGUAUAUUUGAUUUUCGUUCGUAUCUACAUGUUCUCCGACCACGUUCUUUGUACGCAAAUAGAGGAAUGUUAUAAAUGAGUAUACUACUAUAGGGUGUCAGCAAUGAUGGUUUUUAGUAUUCCAAUGCUUGUCCGUUACACGAGAAAUUGAUGUUCAUGAUGUUUUUAAACAUGUUUUCGCUUCAAUGUCUUCUGAAAUGAACGAGAAAAACGAACCAUGGUACACCUUCGAAGUUCCCAGACCUUACAGUAAAUUGGAGCAGUGUACUGGAUAAGGCGAAGCUCAAGACCCAUAGAUUUCUCAUGGUUCGACAAUUACAAUCAGACUUCUAACGACGGUCCUCUCUUCUCGAAGACUGACAACGUCCUUUACUAGGUCCGUCAUCUCAUAAAAAGAUGGCUAGUAGUUCCAAAUUUUCCACAUUUUAUAGUCUUUGCUGUUGACUCUUCUGCUUCCUACAUAUAGGUGUAUAGUGCCUUAAUCCUAGUGGACCUUACUGGUACGGACACCUGGUUCUAUAACACCUUGGUUCUAGUGGUGCUUUAUGUCAAGGAGGUGGACGUCUUUACUGACUUAGUCCUAGUAGCUUUCUACGGGUCCUGCCCAGACACCACCUAAUACAGGGUUUCCUUUUACCCUAGUUACAUGGUCUUGCUUGUCGAGAUGUCAGACUAUCCCGUUCCUUCGAGGGCCAACUAGAUCUACUGGGGUCAGAACGCGACGACUUUUUUGCGCUCAAGAAGGUAAGAGUCUUCCGUGUCUCUUACCUCGACCUGCAUGAAAUGAGCCUAGUACUGUCGCUUCUGCUUGAACUAGUACUGUAGCGACUGAAGCUUCUAUCCUGCGACGAACCACCAAAAAGACUACAACGCUUUCUCCUCUUCGUAUAGUACGUAUACACCUUAAGCAAAUUCGCCUCUGUCUCCUAUAAUCGGCUACCAGUACAUGGAACCCGAACGCUCCGCAAGUGGGUAGUCGUACCUGUCCUUGAACACGUCUUGGGAUCUGACGCUACCACGACCGCCCAGGAAUACUAGUUCGAGACCUUGGUACCGGACGACUUGCCGGCGUGGUACUUGUAGACGUUGUUUGUAGAACUCCAGAACCUUUCGGUUGCGCGGCUGGGGUUCGUUAGAACUGAACCGUCCUUUGUAACCCGUCCAACUCGUCCCGGUCAGGAGCCAAGGGCGGCUGCCAGGUCCGCGGUUACGAACACCGCACCACUCCGCUGUACCGUGUGAAAACUAAAGACCGUAGGAGCAGCUCCGAGCGUCUCGAUGUGGGCUCCCGUACUACUAGAGAAUGUAACCCCUAAUUUUUUUAACCCAACCGGCUUAGCCGUUUACAACAACAACAACAAGAUAAACCUAAUAAUAAAAGUAAAGAAUAACUAAACAAAGUACGUAACGAACUUUGUGGAUAAUUGUAACCCUUGUGUUUUUCAACCCCCCAGACAACAUCAACCCCGCCCACAUGCCUUGUGGGUUUUCUAACCACUAUAGACAACAUCGUCCCCCAGUCUGGUAUAUCUUUACAACACGUUUAAUUACCUAUGUAAAACACACUGAUCCCAACUAGAGCUCGGCUCAAUGCCCACCCCCACAUUACAGUACACCAAGGCGUAUCCAACGUAAAGUCUUAACACAAGGCAAACACUAUAUCUUCAAAGUCUAUUAUA